UAUCUGGUUGAUCCUGCCAGUAGUCAUAUGCUUAUCUCAAAGAUUAAGCCAUGCAUGUCUAAGUACACGAUUUUAUAUAUCGAAACCGCGGAUGGCUCAUUAUAACAGCUAUGAUUUGAGAGAUAUUAUCAUUUGCCACAAGAUAACUGUGGUAAUUCUAGAGCUAAUAUUUUAUAGAAUGCCGUGACUCACGAAGCGGCGGAUUUAUUAGAUCAAAACUAACCUGUCCUAGACAGUUAUUUGAUGACUCUGGAUAACUUUACUGAUCGUACGACCUCUGUGUUGACGACGAAUCUCUUGAAAUGGCUGACCUAUCAACUUUCGAUGGUAAGAUCAAAGCUUACCAUGGUUGUAACGGGUAACGGGGAAUCAGUGUUCGAUUCCGGAGAGGGAGCCUGAGAAACGGCUACCACAUCCACGGAAGGCAGCAGGCGCGAAAAUUACCCAAUGCCGGUUCGGCGAGGUAGUGACAAUAAAUAACAAUAUGGACCCUAGUGGUUUCAUAAUUGCAAUGAGAUUAUUUUAAAUACUUUUUCAAGUAUCAAUUGGAGGGCAAGUCUGGUGCCAGCAGCCGCGGUAAUUCCAGCUCCAAAAGCGUAUAUUAAAGUUGUUGCAGUUAAAAAGCUCGUAGUUGAAAUUGAGGUAGAUGUAAUUUGAAAUCUUAUGAUUGAUUAUUACUAUACCUUUUCUUCGUGUAUAUUAGUGAGGGACUUAAUUGUUUUUUACUAGUAACCGAAAUGUUUACUUUGAAAAAAUUAGAGUGCUUAAAGCAGGCUUACGCUUGUAUAUUGUUGCAUGGAAUAAUAAAAUAGGACUUUGGUUUUAUUUUGUUUGGUUUUCUUAACUAAAGUAAUGAUUAAAAGAGACUGCCGGGGGGCAUAUGUAUGCUGGGUGCUAGAGGGUGGAAAUUCUUUAGACCAUCAGCAGAACAAACUACUGCGAAAGCAUUUGCCCAAGAAAUGUUUUUCAUAAAUCAAAGAACGAAAGUCAGAGGGAUCGAAGACGAUCAGAUACCCGUCCCUAGUUUCUGACCAUAAAACUAUGCCCACCUGACAGUUUAGUAAAAGAUGAAAUUAUUUUCUUUCUUUACUAGAAGUCACCCGGGAAACCAAAAUUCUUUGGGUUCCGGGGGGAAGUAUGGGUUGCAAAAGCUGGAAACUUUAAAGGAAUGGACGGGAAGGGCACCACAAGGGAGUGAGCCCUGCGGGCUUUAAUUGGACUCAACACCGGGAAAUCUCACCCCGGUCCGGGACACUGUGAGGGAUUGACAGAUUGAUAGCUCUUUUCUUGAUUUCGGUGGGGUGGUGGUGCAUGGCCGUUUCUUAGUUUGGUGGGAGCGAUUUUGUCAGGGUUAAUUACCGAUAACGAAACGAGACUAUGACAUUACUAAAUAGUGAAUUUAUAUUCAAUUGUAAAUUCUCACUUUCUUAGAAGAAAUAAAUAGCGUUUAGCUAUAUGAAAUAGAGCAAUAACAGGUGGUGAGAUGCCCUUAGAAGUCCGGGUCCGCACCCGCGCUACAAUGGCAGUACUAACAAGUUUUCCUAACUAGAAAUAGUCGGGUAAUCUCUUGAAACACUGUCGUAUCAGGGAUUGUGAAUUGAAAUUAUUUCACAUGAACGAGGAAUUCCUAGUAAGCGCAAGUCACUAGCUUGCGCUCCUUACGUCCCUGCCCUUUGUACACACCGCCCGUCGCUACUACCGAUUGAAUGGUUUAGUGAGAUUGUUGGAUUCUGAUCUAAGAAAUGGCAACAUUUCUAUGAAUGGGAAAAGACACUCAAACAAGAUUAUUUAGAGGAAGUAAAAGUCGUAACAAGGUUUCCGUAGGUGAACCUGCGGAAGGAUCGUUU
rfam:Schmidtea mediterranea strain S2F2 S_mediterranea_3.1_Cont78399.1, whole genome shotgun sequence.